AUUGCAUUAAAUAUUUGCAAAUAAAUUUCCAUCCCACGUGUUUUUCCAUCGUCACUUCCAGGGAAACUGGCGCCUAUUAUACAGUAACUUUUAAUGCGAUAUCCCAAAUGUGCAAACAAAUAUGUGGAUGUAAACAGAAUUUGGUCUCCAUCUGAGAAACUGUUUCUGUUUGUUCUCCAGGUGUGCUACUCAAGGAGGAUAAAAUCACAUCAAUGCCAGUGAUUGAGGGUCAAUCUGUCACGCUACACGCUGAUCUUACUGAAAUACGGGAAAUCAACAUGAUAUGGUAGAAGUCUGCAGAUUCCAAAGAACGCAGUUGUGCUAAAUUUGUUUUAAUAGCUACUCUGAAUAAAACAAACAAUGAGGUAAACCUACAAUAUAAAGAAACAAUUCAACAAUUCAAAGACAGUUUGAAACUGAACCUCGAUAGCGGAUCUCUCACCAUCACAAGCAUCACACCUGAACAUUAUGGAUAUUAUAAACUACACAUCACCAGCAGAGAAGAGAUGGUCAUUCAUACCUUCAGUGUUGUUGCUCAUAACCUAAUGAGAAGAGAGCGGACCCAAAGCCUUCUCCAGAGGAGUCAAACCUGCCCAUUUUUACAACAGAUGUCCUCAUAGUUAGAAUAUUAUCCACUUUUCAAUUCCACUGACAAAAACAAGAAACAUUUUCCAUGUUUAACAUCCCUCAGAAUGA